CCCUUCGAUGUUCUGGGCUGCACGCGCGCUACACUGAUGCGUUCAACGAGUGUACAACCUUGCCCGAUAGGGUUGGGUAACCUUUUGAACACGCAUCGUGAUGGGGAUAGAUUAUUGCAAUUAUUAAUCUUCAACGAGGAAUUCCUAGUAAUGGCGAAUCAUCAGUUCGUCGUGAUUACGUCCCUGCCCUUUGUACACACCGCCCGUCGCUCCUACCGAUUGAAUGGUCCGGUGAAAUCUCGGGACGGCGGCUUGGUCGCUUGCGUCCGACUGCUGAAACUUGAUUAAACCAUAUCAUUUAGAGGAAGGUGAAGUCGUAACA
rnacentral:rRNA from 1 species